rnacentral:rRNA from 1 species
UACGAAGGGGGCUAGCGUUGCUCGGAAUCACUGGGCGUAAAGGGUGCGUAGGCGGGGCUUUAAGUCAGGGGGGAAAUCCUGGAGCUCAACUCCAGAACUGCCUUUGAUACUGAAGAUCUUGAGUUCGGGAGAGGUGAGUGGAGCUGCGAGUGUAGAGGUGAAAUUCGUAGAUAUUCGCAAGAACACCAGUGGCGAAGGCGGCUCACUGGCCCGAUACUGACGCUGAGGCACGAAAGCGUGGGGAGCAAACAGG